rnacentral:rRNA from 1 species
UACGAGGGGGGCAAGUGUUGUUCGGAAUCACUGGGCGUAAAGGGAGCGUAGGCGGGCUUUUAAGUUGGAUGUUUAAAACCGGGGCCCAACCCCGGCGUGGCAUCCAAAACUGGGAGUCUUGAAUGGAACAGAGGCUAGUGGAAUUGGAGGUGUAGCGGUGGAAUGCGUAGAGAUCUCCAAGAACACCCGUUGCGAAGGCGGCUAGCUGGGUUCACAUUGACGCUGAGGCUCGAAAGCGUGGGGAGCAAACAGG